rnacentral:lncRNA from 1 species
GACGCUCUUCCGUUGGAUGAAAACAAAGUGUGUGUGUUUUACUCGCUUUGAUGUGAGACGGAAAAGAAAAGAGGGAAAUUUGGAGGAGAGCGAACCGUGACUCAGUCCUCCCUCUCCGCUCGUACUUCACUCACAUUCGUCGUUUCGCCGUGUCCACUGAGUUCUUAAAAAGGACAAACUUGACCCUUAAAAACCUGCUCUGCUCGCUCCUCUUAGGCAGCGUUUCCAUCGUAGGAAUUUUUGAAGCGGCCUGUAAAUUUCAGAGGCUCUGACCCCCGUUUUUAUUCCUCCGAGUCUAAAUUAUGGGGAGUAUUAAACCUGACUGGAAUGGAAACUGAUGAUCCCCAAUGAAAAGCUGUCACUGCUGUUAAGUUUUCUGCAGGAAGAUUAUAGAAAAAAUGUCGUUUUUUCCACAUAUGAGCAGAGAAAAUGUCUUUUUCUUUGGGAUUUACAGUUCCUGAUCGUCUCCUCCAGGUGGAAAUGUUGAGGGAAUACAGACACCACUAUAAAUGGACUCUGUAGUUGGAUUAAGCUUAAUAACCACAAAAGCUGAUUUUCAUUCAGUCAAGAAAAAACAUCCCAGUUCAGUUUUGAAGAACUUUUAAGUACCGGUCUUCAGAAACUUCUGUGCACACUAAUGAAUAAAAAGGGGGGAAUAAUUGGUACCAGAGCAGAGCUGAACACUGCCGUUAUUCUGUCUCUGAGGAAAAUCAGCAGGUCCAGACCGCCCAAUCUGAGAAAAUCCAUCAACACUCAUCAGUGGAAACUGGAAAGGACUCAAAGUUGUUCUUAAAAGAGAUCGAUUCACUUUGUUUCCAUCAGAGACGAUGGAAACCGUCACACGUUCAUGCGCCGUUAGAUAAUAUUUAUGGAAAUUCACGCAGACGUUGGAAAUUUGAUUGGCUGCGAUAAUAAAGACUCGACUCAGAGUAAAAUAAAUAUAUCAUCUCUGAAGUGAAUCAGUACGAAUCACACUGAGAGACAAACUGGGAGGCCAGGACCGUCUUUAGGAAAAUCUACGACCUCAGAAACAAACCUUAUCUCAGUCCAGACCACUUCAAUCAGGAAAAACUGUUUUCAGAUAUUCAGCAGAGUGUUUCUGAUUCUGAGGGCUCCUCGCUCUUCCACGUCUACAAACACCAACAACAGAGCAGCAGCAAAGACAUAGAGGGGCACAGAGCAACUUAUAUGACACAGGUGAAAUCAGACAUAGUGUAAGGAGGAGGAGCUUCAGUGAACUGUUAUUCAUCCUUCUAGAGCUGCACGAUUUUGGCCAAAAAACAAAAAAUUUUCCUGGAAACUCAAUUUUUUAUUUUGAUUCUUUAUUCAGCGACAACUUCACCAAACUUCACUUUAAAAAUACAAAGUUUUUCGAUCAUCUCUCAAAACUAAACCACUGAAAAUGAUGUAGUUCAUAUGCCGAGCCAGUAAGUGGCGCUGUAACGUUUCACAGGAAAUGCACAAAAGACAGAAGAAGAGUACAAAGCAUGUGUAUAAAGGUUGUUUUGGCCGGACACGCUCAGGCGCCAUAAAAGAAUUACGCUGUGUGUCACAUGAUCGUUUCCGGAGAUGCAGAUAGACAUCCACACAGAGAUAAAAUAGUCGUCGUUUACAGAUUUAUGCACUCUCUGACCCGUAGAUGAAACGCCGAUACUACUCCUGAAUUUGUUUCCGUGGUGACAGGUUGAUACCGCCUUCAGACAGACUUUGCAGCAGGGAGUGGUUUGCUCUUCUUCCAAAACUGCGAAGUCGUACCAAUUCAACACGACUGACUCGCUCUUGUCCUAUUUAACAACGAAAUUAUUGCCUUCUUUUGCAAACGCCAUGUUUGUUUACACUGGUGUGUGUGGGAACUGGGGAGCCUAUGGUGGCCUGGAGCCGCGAGACAUGAUAGAGAGGAAAACUGAUUCGAUUUUUUAACAUCGUCAUAAAUAAUCCAAUUAUGGUCUAAAAUCGAUUAAUCGUGCAGCCCUACUUCCUACAUGUUGUAGAUAAGACGUAACAGGACCUAAAGAUUAGGCCUUAAAUUGUUAAAAUGUGGAAACCUUCAGUCAUGUGUCAAUUAGAGCACAAAAAAUGAAGACAUAUAAGAGCAUCUGGGGGAAAUUAUCUCAUUAAAAUGACUCAAAAGACCCUAAAACUAAAGUUUACUCACACAUAGACAUCUGAAAAUACGACAACUAUCUAAGUGGUGAACCUAAAAUAGAAACUAAAGCAGCUGGUUGUACUUAGAAUAACUGCUCCAUUAAAACGGAGAGUAAUCUACUCUGUUGGGAAGCUGUACUCUGAUGACCGCCUGGUUAUCUGGCUGCCUGUUUUUCUUUUUUUUUACUGGAUUUUUCCAGAGUAACUCUAAGAGGAAACAGCAGCAGCAGGAAAAGCCGAGGCUGGAGCUGAUAGGGACGACAGUGGGAGUGGGAUGACACAGGUGGUGCUUCCAUUUGACUGGGGGUGGAAACGCAGCGUACAAAAACACAUGGAGAGUGAUAUUAUUCCAGAAGCUCCCAAUAUUGACCUUUGACCUUGUCUUGGCCUGUUUAAAUUGAAGCUAAAAUCUCUUGGACACAUUUGUGGGACAUUUGCGAGGUGGACUACGACAGACAUCCAUUAAUUUUGAUCGUAAGGCUCAGGAUGACACUUUAUAAUCAAACCAAACGAAUCUCUGUGCGACAGGCUUGAAUGGGAUUGCUUAUGUGUCUAUCUUUGAGCGGCCUCCACCUUUAUUUUCAUUCACUGUGUUUGUUCCUGUUUAUUCUCCGAGCAGAUCCAAAGUGCAGACCAUUAAAGGCGGCCCGAGACGACCACAAACACCCUAACAGCACUCAGGAAAACAGAUAAAACCACCACUUUCCUGUCCAAAAUCACAAAGCACUUUUCCUAUCAAGAAACGUCUGGUUUCCCAAAAGCACAGCCGCGCUUUUUGUCCUUUUAAGGAUGAGGCAGCAGCUGAAGACGAAACUCUGACACUGAGAAAUCAUCCGCAGAAUUUUUCCAUUUUUUACUGUUUAAUCUGAUCAAUUAUAUGUACCGAUGUAAUUGUUUAAGUGUUUUCUCCCUAUGUCAAGAGAUGUCACUGAAUUUCCUAGAAACCUCCUAAAAACACUCGUCUUUUCAGGCACAUAUUCAGAAGAAAUAAUGCUGCGUCCGAAUUGCCAAGUAGUAGUCGAAGUAGUAGUCGAAGUAGUAUCUAGCAUGUCCGAAUUGGCCACCGGAGCGAGUAGCAUGCUACUUCAGAUACUACUUCAGAUGCUAGACACGCCCACAUUGUAGGUUGGUCUCGGUGCAUCCUACGGGCAUGCUACUGACCCAAAAUGCACCGCGGGCUUCUUCUUCGUCCUCUUAAAAGUUGUAGAAGCGCAUGUGAUGCUAGCGCCACCAGCUGCUGCCUAUUUAGAUGCGUCGCGAACGCCGGCUGGCCACAGCAGCGCGCACCAUGUCGGAGCAGCAGCAGCAGCAGGCGGGACCGCAGUAGUACAGAUGUAAGUUUCAUGUAACUUCACACACUGUCCUAAAAAAUGUGCGGUUGUAUCUCUUUGUCAUGUCAUGGUGUCAUAUUUGCCCAAGUAAUCAUUUUAUGAGCAAAUAUGUGGCGACAUCAUGGAGGUAAAGCUCACUUAUUCCAUCAUUAAACUGCACAGCUGCAGUACUACAGCCAGGCCCGCAGAUGAGGGGCUUCAGUUACCACUGUCUGCACGGGCGCAGUACCUACUCUCUGCCUGCGGGGGUCGUCUUUCCCCACCGCUCGUCUAGUGUGUCCGAAUUGGGCCAACGUGUUUAGUAUGUAGGAGUAGGAUCUAGCAGGAUCAGGGUUAAACAGAAACUAGUGGAGUAAACCGAUUAUUGAUUAUGGUGAUGUGUUUUACAUGAACGCCUCUGUUCAAUGCCUCCACAUGCUGGAUAGUGUAUCAUGGUUCUCUGGAGCUCUAACUCACCAUUGUGUCUUACUCAGUAAAGUAAACUGGCCGUCUUUACAUGUGCGCCGGCUCGGCCUUUGGUUCGUGUCGAUUUAUAAGACUAUUCCUCAGAUGACUCCAUCUUGUUUAUCACCCAUUUUAAUCUUGAAUAAUAGGACCUACAGUCUCCGCCCCCAGGACUUUUAUUAUUUUACUGUUUCUAAAGUUCAGAGCAGAAAUGAGGAAGAAAGUUUUUAGAUUUUCUAGAAAAAUGAUCACGAUAUAUUUUGUCACAUCGUCCGAUCUCGAUUAUUAUCACAAUUUUUUUUUAACUGCCAGUUUUAAAGCAUCUGUUUUAAAAACUGAAGAAACUAGAGAUUAGUUCAACAUUUUAUUUACAUACAAAAUAAAUAACAAAUCAAAUUAAAUAGAUACACUUAAAAAUAUAUAAAAUACAUGUUAUAAUAACAUCUUCGGAGAAUGACUCAAAGUCAGGGCUGACAUCUGUUUGCUGCCCUCAGCUCCAUGUUUAGCUCCACUUUCGGUCAUUCUUACUUCCUGUUUACUUCUCCAGCAAAUUACAGAAGCGAGCAGGAAAAGCUCGACUCUGAUUGGCUGCUGUCACGCACAUUUCUGCUGUGUUUGCUCACAGCUGAUCACCGUGAUCGAACUGAAAUUUAUCACGAUCAUAUAAUCGCCCAGUCCUACCCCUGACUGUAUUCAAAUCCAUGAUAAACUCCAUUACAUCCAGGCGUCAGGAGUGCAAAUGUUUUAUUUUAAUGUGCUAAUGUUUGAGGAAUCUUGUAUUCUUUGUUUUCUAUAUAAUUAAUGUGAUUAUGUAUUAAAACUGUCGAUGGGACAAACCUGGUUAAAUAAAGUUAAUAAUCAUAAAAACAGGCCGCUCUUCCAAGUCGAGUCAUCUUCAUAAACGCCGUUCAUCAUCAGAGGUUACGAUAUUAGCAGUUUGUGCAGAUGAGUUUCUCCAUUCCAGGGUCGUAUCUGCAGGAUUUACGUGUUUUUAUUUGGUGUACUGAGACUCGGCUUUCGGAAACACGCGGUGGUUUACCGUGAUGAGUCAAGGUUUCUCCUCUCUGAAAAACAUCUGAUUCAUUGCAGCAUUUUUCCAACCUAGAUACAAGACUGAGAGCCAGGUGAGGGAAUAACGGAUGAAUACUCUAUGAGCUCAAAUGGACCGAAUCAGGAAAUCCAUUACAGUUCGCUUUACUUCCAUGGUGACAGAUCAGGAAAUUCAUCGUCUCAGGAGCCGCUUACAUCCUGCUGGUCUUCAUAUCAGUCGACCUACUUCCUUUAGUUCGCACUUAUCUGUUUCAAAGAGGGAUUUUCUUUCCCUGUUUCACUGCAGCGAGCGCUAAAACAAACACUUCCAACUUCAUCUAAAGUGAGAGGAAGUUGAUAUAUUUUAUUUUUUUUGCUGUUGAAAAUAUCCGGUCAAGUCUCUGGUGAGUCAUAAAGGACGGGUCGCCCCGUUCACCUCGUUGGCCAGGCUCAGAGCGAGGUUACGUAAGCUCCCACUUCAAAUGAAUCAAGCUGAAAGCAUGAGAGGAGGAGGAGGAGGACGACGACGACGGGCCUUCAGGGGAAGGAAUCCUUCAGGAGGAACAGUUUCCAGAGGAGCUGGCUGUGGUCCAGUCAGUUUAUAAAACACUUGAAGAAGAAGAGGGAGGUGAUGGUGACCCUUCAUUUAUUCCCUCAUCAUACCUCUAAGUAAGUUAAAGUUGUCCGUCGUACAGAUUUAUACCUCCUCUUCUUCAAACGGACUUUUAGCAGGUCGUUGGAUUCAGAAGUUUCAGACUGUAAAACGUUGAACAAACUCGCUCCUGCUGUGCAUCGCUGCAGGUUAUCUUAACCCGAGUACAGAGAGCCAGUGGCUCAGGGAAAAUCAUCUCAGACUUUACGAAGAGCUUAGUUUGACCUGCGUGGCCGCUCCGCUCCGCUCCGUUUGUGGGGGAUAUCGCUUACAGGUAAUGAAUGCUCCCCCUAUCUCCCAAAACCUCCACAUAAACCCUCGCCUCCUUUCCCACAGGGAUUACUAUGUCUCUGUGUGUCCGUGUUGGUGUGUACUUUCGCCCGUGUGUACGUGGGGGAGGAGAGCUGAUCUACACGUGUAUCUGUCGGCUAAACGGCGAACAGAAUGGCUGAAUUAUCUCCAGGUUACAGCGAAGGUGAAUCACGAGAGACCGAUGGGGUUAAAGUUUCCAAACUAACGUCACUCCAAACAAUAAACCGAUCAGACCCUGGCUCUUCUCCCUUCUCAGUUUCUUACUUUAUUCGCCACCCAAUCGGAUCAAUAAAAGCCUCAAAGUAAUCUCGGUUAAAAACUAGAGGAACAAAGAGAUGCCGGUUUGGCGGUGUGGUUAAAUCCCACGCCUCAUUUACAGAGGCGAUCGUCCUCGAAGCAGACGGCUCAUCCAUCAGACCCACAGCUCUUCGCCACACAUCAUUCGCCGCUCUCCCUUUUCUGUUUUUUGCUCGAUCCAUCACCCUGUCUGAUCAAUAAAGGCAGAAAAAAGCUGAAAAAUAAUCUCGCUUUAAAAAGAAUCUAGAUUUUUUAGGUUAUCAAGACUUUCCUCUCCCUUAUUUGUGUGUUUUCUGCUGUUGUAUAAUCAAAAAAGUCUCGAAAACUAAAGGGAAACUUAUUUUAAAGGCUGGGAAUCCAAAAGAUUACUCACUAAAACAUCACACCAUGAUUUAAUAAAGUUUUUCCUUGUCUUUUUGAGUAGCUAUGACGACAAAACUCUAGAGAUGCUGAAACAAAACCUCUGUUAAGUGGAGGCGAACAUCCACAGUCUCUCUAACGUGUGUUUUCUGUAUCAGACUGAACUCGGCGAGUGAAGAAACACACCGACAGUAAAUCAUCAUCACCUGAAAGCGCCCACACUGAGAGAUCCCGGCUGUCACCUCUGCUCACCUUCAUCCAGAGAAACAGAAACUCGAACGCACGCACGCAGUCGCUCUCUCUUCACAUUUAAAAUCCAAAUAAACCGUUUUUAGGAGACCUGAGGGGGCUCACGCUCGCCUACGAGGUUCUCGGGUUUCGGGGACGCGUGGGAGCUCUCACUCCAUCAGAUGAGAAACGGACUUCCUGAUGACAUCCGCAGAGAGUCGCCUCCUCUGCUCGAGUUUGAUGGACAAAACAUCCCGUCGAUGCAGUAAAUCAGAACUUUCAAAAUAUGACUUCACAGUUACCCCACCGACUGAUGAGACAGAUUAGUGAUUUAGAUGAUGUGAAAAAUGUCAUAAAAGUGAGUUGAAGGAGUAUGAUAUGAAAAAAGUUGCUAGAAUCAUCGUUAGACUCUGAAAGUCCCUGUGAUGUUGAAAACACGUUGAAAAGAUUCUUCACCAGACGUCUAAUAAACGUCCAGAUUCAGACCGUCUAAAUAAAGCCUCGUUUUCAACGUCUUCUUUUGGGACCAUGACGAGCCAACGGGAUUUAGCCUGAAAAAAGACGUCUAAAGGUCCUUAAACACCGGGGCCGACGCAAAUAUAGAACGCGAAAUCACGAAAUAUUCAGAAGCGAAUUUUGACGCGCCUGACUGUACACAUCACGCCCGAUGCGUUUUGCGAUUUUCCGGGGGGGAAAAGACAAGUCCCGCCUCCUUCACCUCUGAUUGGCUAGAAAGCUGGGAAUGUCAUCACACGCUCAAGCCAAACGGUCAGCACUUACAGCCAAUCAUAGGUGAAGGAGGGCGGGACCUUUCCUUACCAUCCUACCGCGUCCUGGGUGGAAGCGAGAAGACAAAAUUGGAGUCUCCUUCAACUUCAAGUGAUGGCGAAUUGGUACUUCUUUAGCUUUCUCAAAAGAAGAAGAAAUGUAGCACAUAGGUGCAUCCAAUAUUACAAAAAAGACGAGAAACUGGACCACGGUCGCUUCAGAACCUGUUUUUGGAUGUCUGUUGGACAAUUUGAAGUUCUGCUGAAACAAUUAACUCCAAGUUUGAAGAGGCAGAGGACUAGACACUAGACACUAGUGUUGAGAUGUCUGUCUGUCAUGAUAGCAUGUACUGAGUCAGGGUCAGUACCAGAUAAACACAUGAAACUAUGGUAACAACAGUUAGCUUAGGUUAGCACAGAUGAAAGUUAAAACAAAGACGUUUAUCAAACUGUUAAAGCUCACAAACCAUAGAAAUAUGAGCGAUCUGACGCUAUGACUCUCCACAAGUCAUCCUUCAGGUCUUUAUCUUUGUAAUGUUUGUGUAAAUGAUCAUGAACAAUCAGCCGGUCGGCCAUGUUGGAUAUACCGGUGAAUCAGGCGUCGCAACAACACGCAAUCUGAUUGGUCAGAAGUGGACACACAGUAUGCAAAACUUUAGAAAAAUCUACCGUGAUCCGAAAAAAUAAAUGCCGCAAUAUCGCAGGACGGGAAAAUGUCGCUGAUGUGAACGCUUGACAGGAUACGGGUUCGAAAAAAAAUAUUGACGCCCGAAAAAGGACCUUAAAUGACGUCAGGUGUUUGGUGGGUAAGAAGAGAUCUUCGAAAGAGGCCUUCAACCUCUCUUUGGAUAUUCUUGUAAAGCAGAAUAAUUGUUGCAGGUCAUUCAAACCAGAUGUAGUGAGUGUAACUUUGCAAAAUGUUUAAUUUCAAAGUGGCUCUAAAAAUAAAUAAAGAACACAGUGAGAUUUAUUUUCUAAAUGAGUGAGAAAAGCUGCAAAUUUGAGUCAAACUUGAAAAUCAAUUUAAAGUUUCAAGUAAUUUUAACUGAAAAAAAAUCUGUGAACUUGACACAAAAAAAUAUGAUUUUAUAGGCAGUGGUUUUUUCCCUCUGUGCACUAAGUCUGUUAUAUCUGUAGGUAAAGUUCAUAUCAGUUUGUGAAAGAUUUAAGGGGUUUUAUUUAUGACCUUGAAAACUGCAGAGCUUCAUUUCUGCCCGGGUCAGCAGGAAGGUUACUGCCCCGUGGGAUGAAGGUAGAAGAAAACAAACACGACCCUGAGGUGGAGAGAUCCCUCCAGAGUCAGAGUGUAAAUAUGACUGAGGAUAAAACAGGUUUUUUAAAGCAAAUGCACAUGUAGUCAGUGUUCAGGUCAUGACAGAAGCCUGCAGUCUGAUUAUUGUGUGAAUCUUUUAUUUCUAAAUGUUGAUUUACUGUUCCCUCCUUCAGUUUAUCAACGAGGACAAAUGUACAAAUAUUUUAUCAGUGACUAAAGUAAUCACAUAAAGCAGAGCAGCAGUUCCCUUUAUGGAGACUAGUUCAUCUCCUCUCAGUGUGUAUUAUUGGAUUGUUCUUGACGUUGUACAGUAAAGCUGCAGACCCGCCCUGCAUAAAAAUAUCCCAUAAAUGACAUGAUUGAUGGUUUAUUUGGCGUUUAGAGGAAAGUUUCAUUGUCAUGGCUCUCAAAGUCCCCCUCCAGCUCCCGAGGAGCAGCACUGAGAGGAAACAUUAGUGGACCAGGAUAUUGGCCUGGAGGGCAGGAGGAUGUUCCUCAGCCUGGCCCCUCUCUGUGGAUCUUGGCGUUUUAAAUGGAAGGUUUGUCUUCCUCGGGCCUCCGUAAGGAAGCAGCUGUCAGAGAGACCAGCUCGCUCUCUUUUAGAGAGUUCGGUUCCUGAAAUACCCCAAAUAUCAGAUCUCUCAAAGGUUUGUGAUCUUCAGCCGCGAUAAGAAGCUUUAAGAGUUUGUUGUCCGGUGUAAGCGACGCACUGACUCGACAACUUUAUGAAUGUGUGUUUGUUUUAGCGCGCUAAAGUCGAGCUUUUUACCUUUCACGUUGGCUGUUUAAAUUUAAUACAGAAGAGCUCGGCAGAGUCUUUCACCAAAGGUACGCCAUACAAUAAAAAAUCGCCAGACUGGUCGGACAUUAUAUUUGCAUUUGUUUACAAAUCUGAGUUUAAAAAUAAAAGGAAAAUGAACAAAUGAGUCAGUUUGGUUAUUUUUAGGACAUUAAUUGGAUUUAAAGGGGAAAAACAUACCGUCUGUUAUCGUGAUAUGAAAUUACUCACCGCCUUACACUAGAUGCAACAGUAAAUUCUAGUGUAUUUAAUGGCCCCCCUGCAUAUGUUGGGUCGGGCCACCCUAGUCAAAAAAGUCUAGACACGCCCCUGCUUGUCGGCCCAAACUUCAUGUUAUUUCGCUCUACAAACGAUGAAUUAAUCCAUGCUGAGAGGAGGCUACAGAGAAAGACAAGGACUCUACUUUUACUCAGGUAGACUGACGCAUUUAUCACGAAGUUGAACGUCAUGCAGAUUUGAUGUCCAGAAAGACUUUUCUGGCCUGACCGUCACGUUCUUGUCUUUGUGCAGAACAAAUUUAAAACCUUAUAGAUGCUUUCAGCUGAGCCACCCUGCUGCUUCAGGAGCCAAAGUGAGCGAGGUCAGAGAGCGUCUCAGCAGUGAAAUGUAGACAGAUGAAGCACACUGAGUGAUUCAGUGUCGAACCUGCUGUGGUACACGUGCUGUAAUUAUUUCCUUUCUCUGCUUUAUCCCUUGAGAAAGUGUUUUGUAACCGUAAAUGUGCCGUUUUCCCAUAAUUGCACCACUUAGAGCAACAGCUGAUGCAAACUGUGAACAUCACAGGAGUGAACUAUUUCAGUGUGCAGUCUGAGAUUAAUGAGGAAAGAGGCAUCAAACAAGCUUCCUCUCUCACUAAAUCUUCACAUCCGUCUCUCUCUCUCUCUCUCUCUCUAUUCUCACACUUUUCUUCAACAUCCUCUCAAAGGGAGAAAAACAUCAACAAGUAGAUCAGGAAUGGAAGGUUUUCAUUACUUUAAAUUUGGCUCCAGGUUUGAAUUUGGUUCUUAUCACUUUUGCAACAAAACAGAAACUUUUUUUUAACCAAAAAUGGAAAUAUUCAGCCUCAUAUCCUGUCCUUAAAGACAGAGUUAAUCCAGAGCAGCGGUCUCAGUUUAUCACACAUGAUUCACCCUCGAAUAUAAACAUUAACAUCCUUAAGAAGCCAGGACCUGGGCUUACAGGGCUGCAGGGGGGGUUUGAGUAAGAACAAUGGAGUCCAGACCCAGUGACACAAUCCUCCCGUCAACUUUGGACACUAACUUGUGGAGUGUUGCCACGGAAAUAAAGUCAAUUUACACUCUAUAUGCCAAAAACGAGAGGGAUGGAUUAAGGUCAAGUCCCCUGUAGACAGAAAAACUUGAAACUACAACUAGGUAUAAUAUUUCAAAGAUGAUUUCAUUUUUAAAAACAGAAAUAACAGACAAAUAUUGCAUCACUUCACGGCUAACCUGCAUUUUUAACACUGCAGCAGGUGGAAACAUCUUAAAAAAACAUCUGCAGCCUGACCAUCCAAAAGAUAUCACUUUUUUAAAGCUAAAGCAGACUGAAACAAGGCAAAGAAAGAGUCAAAAAUAUGAUGAAAAGGGGGUUUUAACAGAGCUUAAUGCCAUAAAAAUAUUUAAAGAUUAAUAAAAGAAAAUCAACUCAUGAAAAUGUAUCAUAUAUUUCUAGAAAGUGCUCUCUGCUGGUGGGUUUUCUUCUUCUCAGAGUGUCUGAGAUGUUUCUGUAGGAGGUAAACUUCAAAUGAACCCAGGCUCUCGUUGGCUCAGACAUUUAAACUCCCACUGAAACACAGAGCCGAGAGACGACGGCCAAAUCUACGUCGCAGAGAGCUUCAUGUGUUUUAGGAGCCAAACUAAACUGAGGCGGAGUCACAAAGCAGCGAGUUCUCGAUAUUCUGAGGCUUCCAGUCGGCGUGUAACUCACCUGUGCAUCUGUUUUUUAAUAUUGUGCAUCCUAUCACUGAGAACAUGAGAGUGAAUUCAACUUCUGCUCUUUUCUAAAUGACCUAAAAUAAUGCUGAUUGUUUGGCUGACAUUUCUAAACACUUCUCGUACUGCGGAGUUCUGGUCUUGUGUUUGGGGCGCGGCAUCAAAGCGGCUGUUGUUACCAGAGCGUGAAAAAAAAAAGGCUUUUCUAACAACUAAUCACAUGUCAGAUAAGGUCAGUGGAAGAUAACGGUCACAUCGUGUCCGAACUCAGUUUCUCAAACAGUUUGCCAGAAGAAAAGUGAAGCAAAGCCGCUCACAGGAAGUCCUUUGGUGAGGGGCUUUCCAGCGUUGCUAUGACACUCAUGACCACAAAUAAACUUUGACCCCUGAGCAGAGAGUGUGUUGGUGUGAUGGAGGAAAUUACAUUUUAACUUGACUGCCGUCCAAAAUGCUGACAGGCCAAAGGAGAUCUCAGGGCUUACGAAGUGUUAUCCCUCUAUUGUGUGUUUGUGUUAGUGUUAGUGUGCGCUAACUUUGUAUAUAAAACACUUUGUUGUUGGCGUGCAUGUGUAGCUUUGUCCUCCCCGCCCUGCUGAAUUAGUGUUUAUCCCCUGACCGGGUGUGAAGUGAAGCAAUCUUUUGGGGGUCUGCCCAUGUGAAUCUGGGUCCUCAGAGGGAAAGUUAAUGAGUUUUCAGGAUGGCUAACCAGCACAGCGCUGAAACUCUCUGACCCUGUUCUGAGAUCAGAAUCAGGUUUUUAAGAUUUGAUCAUCAGAACCAUCAUGGGAAGACUUUGACAUCUUUACUACACAGAGACUCCUGUAAAGAAAAUUUUACCUGCAGCAUCUGAAAACUAACCCUCGAUGUUUCCAAAGAUUGAAUUAGGGCUGGGCGAUAUGGCCUCAAAUCAAUAUCAUGAUAUAUUGAUCAGUUCACCUCGAUAACAAUAAAUAGACGAUAACUACUCCACAAGCUGCUCACCCCCUCCCACAUAAACUUCGUCUACUUCAGCUGCUCCAACUUUCUCUCCGUCCUCCAUCUCCUCUCCUGUCUUUCCCUCUUUGUUACAGACUGGAUGGGGUGGAGUCACAUCUCUGAUGUAGAACAGCGUCUUAAAGGGACAUGAGACCAUAGCCUACCUACACACAUCCAAAAACAACUUUGAUUGAUUUAUUUAUUUGACACCGAAUAUAUUGACAUGGGCAAAAUGACGUCAGUUAUUGUCGGAAAUUUUGGUGUCUGUAAAAUUUUGGUUUAUUGCCCAGCCCUAGGUCGAAGUUUUGCCAACUUUACUUAAUGUCUAACCCGGGAUAUUUAAGGGUUAAUCUGUGCUGAAUUUAUCCGGCAUGCUCCGGCGAUCCGCAGAGGAACGAAAAGAAGUCGGUGGAAGUUGACGCGUUAACUUGAAUGGUUACGAUCAGCUACGAUCGGCGGAUACUGCCUUUUUUGUCGCCAUUCAGGAUGAAGGUGGAAAUUGGGGGUUAGCCUCUUUGCGCCAAUUACCUGAAUUUACUUAUUCAUUCUGACACAUCAUCAUGGGACCAUGAAUAGCUUUACAAGUAGGGUGCCAACCCCCCAACAGAUGCUGCCAAAUCUGAUAUAAUGAAGAUUUUUUAUUUUUUUUUGUAAUUGCUAACAGAGCUUUAAAAAAAUUCAAGGGUUCAUCAAAGCCAUCGAGGAUUCGUCCUCUGGGAACUACGAAUGUGAGUCCUGAAGUUCAUGACAAGUCACUCAACAGCAGAUGGAACAUUAAACCACAUAACAACACGAAGACGAGAGGAGGGAAUUCAGAAGAUGUGUCAUCGGGAUUCAUGCCUCUGGGACUGUGAAUGUUGACAUAGCUGAUACUUUCAAUUGUUCCUGAUCUGGAUCCAAUCACAGCAGAAAAACCAACAUGGUCGUCACUGGAGCGCGGCCACUUUUGUGAGCGGACAACAAAGAAACCAACAAAGUUACCGGCCAAGAAAACGCCAUGACACUACACAAACGAGGGAGUCCAUAUUUAUCCUGGGAUUAGUCCAAAACCUAACGUAAUGCUGAGCAAGCGUUUGGCUCACGCUUUAGUAGCCACACUAGAGACGUCAUCCUCCAGUGGGUCAAACGCCAAGCAUGACGGUCACCUGCUCAGGAAUGACUGAGUGUGACAUUUUCUGUAGGAAGUAUAAAUUCAGGCAUUCUUAAAAUGUUUAUGUCACAUUCAUUCAGAGCUCCACUACCACCAGUUACUGCAGUAAAGACCUCCCAACAUGCCGACUCUAUGCUGUCAGCUCUCCGCGGAUCAUGCACUCAUGGAAACUGUGAGAUACCACAGAGUGUGCAUCAGCAGCUCAACGAGCCACAUGAGUCGAGGUGUCUGCCAGGAAACAAGCGGGGAGCAAAAACUCAUGUUUGAAGCUACAGAAGAGACGUAUCCUGAUGGUACUGAGACGACCAUGUCUUACAACGGUCUACGAUUCAGUGUACUUCUCAUUUUGGGUGGACUCUUGGUUUGGUGCGCAGACGAGCCAGAAGAAUCCAAGGUAGCUUACUGUAUGAAUUCCACUUCCACCUAAAAUAACUCCCCCAGAGGACGAACAAUGAGCGCUUUGACUCCUGAGUGCGAUUAUGUGAUUGUCGGUGUCUGCUGAAGAGUCCGUUUCAUUGUCGGAGAAAAAGCUCGACUCUAGCUGGCAGUUUUAAAUGAAACCAGACCGAGAGUCGGCUGGCAGAGGAAGAGGGGGUCUCUGUUUUCUUGGGUGGCAUUCAAAGCUCUGUGAGCACUUACAGUUACCCCAGAAUAUACUGGCUGUCUGCAGACAAAACAUUGUUCUCAAACAUUUCCAAAUGGAGAGGGGAGGAAAAGAGAAUUGUAAACAGACACGCGGAGAAGAAGUCGUAAAAUAAAAGACAAGGAGCACAGGAGAAACCAAAAUACAGUGGAACAGGUAUGAAGUCAGUUUGGAAAUGUCCAGGUUAACUUGAAUGUUUGUCAGGCUGAGUCAUCUUAUUGAGAUGUGCGUUCAGAUCCUGGAAGUUAUCCAGCUAAGAUAGAGCAGUUAUGAUACGAUAGGAAAGAUUCAUCUUUUUCCUUUUCCUUUCUUCUUUUGUCAAAGUUUUGUUUACAAACCAGUUUCCUACCAACACAUUUGUGUAAUUCAACUUCUGGGACAAAUCCAGGCAUGAAAACACUAAAUCAGACGAAGAAUGCUACGUAAGGAAGGCCGGUUUAAGUCUGGUUGAACUGUCAAUGUGGAAGAAAAAAAACUGAUAUUAUAGCAUGUUGAAGGUGGGGUAGGCAGGAAUCCCCUGUGUCGUUCAUGAGCCCAAACAAAGUUAGCGUGCUACAAUAUCGGACAGUAGAAACCAACCAGAAAGUUCGGAAAAUUGUCUGAAUCCUCCUUUGGCCACGACUGCCGACACAAGCAAGAAAACAAAGUAAAUACCGGAGACUCUGGAGGAAUAACGGGCGCUUAAAACGGAGGUAGACCGGACAAGAGCUAAAAAGCCGGGUCAACAUAAACGAUGGGGGACGCUUGGGGAUCUUGGUGACCCUGUAACCUUUCUGCUGGACAGGUAAACCGCUUUAACAAAGUAAGACAAGUGUCUGUAACAGAAGUGUUUCUUGUCAAACGGACCUGCUGUAGCGUGUUGUAGCGCCAUCGCUAAACUGUCCUCCCUCGGGUCCUGGACUAUGUCACUUUAUCCUCGUUGUAGAAGUCCUGCAAACAUUGUGUUUGCUGGUAGUCUGUUGGCAUCUACAGUAGCACCAAUGCUUUUGACUUUCACCUUGACUGGGCCCCAUUUGUAAUGAUCUGAAGGAUUUAUCUGCAUUAUAUCUGAAUUUAAUUGGAACAAUACGAGCGAGCAGGAGCGGGAAAACUGGUUGGGAGGGGUAGAGUUUACAUUCAAGAUCUCUCCUAAAAACUGGAACUCAGAUCCUGACUACAACACCUUUAAUGUACUGACUGAUUAGCUUAUUGAAACAGUGUUGUAGAUUGGCAACAGUGGAGGAGACUUCUGAAGUGCUGGGUUCUAGAGUGUUCAGGGGAGAAGAUUAAAAGAGAUGGUAGCUGAAAUGAUCGAUGCAGACAGAGGCAGAAGUGAGAGUUUUCAAGGACACUAAUCUAAGAGAGGUAAUAAAGAGCUGGAAAUCCUGUUAGAAGGUCAAUAUAAAGACCAAAACAUUAGCAUAACACCCACUCCUCCAAUUAUACCUCUAGUUUAAAGAGUGUGUAGUUAUCCUGAACUUUGUGAAAGGAGUAUGAAAAGUCGUACUAUUAAAGCAGCCUCAAACAGAUUCAUGUAUUUUUAUGCUAAAGUCAAAAAUCUAGUUAUAAACAAUGAGCAUCUUUGCACAAUGACAGUAAAUGCAUGGAUUUGCUUUGGGUAAGUGUAAUUUACAAUAAGUUUAGCUCUGAGGAGGUAACGCCACUUUUGUACCACUAGAGGGAGCCAUAUUCCAGCAAAAGGCCCAUUUAAGGCAGACACGGUUUGAUUCAUUGAUUAGUGUUUGUUCCCUCAAAGAUAAAUAUAUAUCUGUACUUUUCCCCUUAGAUCAGAAGUGUGUAUUUUCUGAUCUAACAGUUCAGGAUCUGAUCGGUGUUGAAAUGUUUUACACAAUGGCUUAUGUUUUAAUUUAUUCCCCAUAAUACAUUAACCAUCUGUAACUGUUGUUUUUUUCUGCUCCUGUUCCCAUGGCUGUGAGAUGAGUCAUCUGCGUUACCUUCACGAUAUCAUCUAUUCCCACGUUGCACAUGUGCUAAUAAAUUUCCCCCCCUUCAAAAAUUAACCCUGAUGUACAAUAAAGGAGGGAGAUUUCAGGAUGAGUCACAGCCUGGAGAGAAUGGAGGGAAGACGGGGAGAGAAUAAAAGCUUCAGUAGCAUUUGGAUGAGGCAAAACAAACAGAGAAAAUGGAUAAAGGGAGGAAAAAGGGGGGAGGAGGGGUGAUGGAGAGAGCUUGCGUCGAUGAGUCAGAUUCAUUAUCUGAUGGAAAAGGGAGGGAAGGAGGGGAGGACGGGAGAGCGAGGCGAGUUCAGGAAUAGUAUAGAAGAAAUAAGGGGGAUGAGUCAGAGGAAAGGUGGAAGGACGAGGUCAGAGGAGGCCAUGAGUGGAUGGAAUAAGGAGUAAGGAGAAAGGAUGAAAAGUAGGACAUAUGAGAGGAGAAGAAGAGAUAGAAACCUGAAAUAAAAAGACAUGGUCACACUGUUAAUGGUUUGAUUUACAGAGCAUUGCCGGAGUCUCAAAAAUCUGGACUUGAAUUAAAAUUGGAAAAAAAGUGAAAAUUGAAAUUCGAUGGAUGGCGAAUAUCUCCAGUUUAACUCCCUCCUUACAAAGUGAUGAAAAAAUUAAAGGAGUCCAGUCCCAGAUGUUGUAGAGCGGAUGUGUAUCUGACCUUGAUUUGAGCUCAAGUAGAAGAAGAAGAGCAUUAUCCUUGAGGAUCUGAUCCAAGUCUCAGUGUAAGGUUUUGUAUCUGCACUUUAUGGACUGUGUUGGAACAGACACAAACUUGGCGGGACAAGUUGUUCCGAUCUCUAAAUGUGAAACAGCACUUCCCUCUACUGGCAGCUAACACACCCUCUUCCUGCCAUGUGAGUGUGUAUGUGUAUCUGUGUGUGUGUGUCUGUGUGUGUGUGUCUAUGCACAGACAUGCAAAGGGCAACUCAGACUGCUGAUAAAAGUCAAAAGUUACAGUUUAUACCUUGAGUAGAAACAGUCAUAAAACUCUGAUCACAGAGACGGUGAUAAGAUACCAGAAGAAAAGAAAGUCUGUUUGAGAAGCUCUUCUUCUACGAUAAACGUGAAGUGCCGACAGGUCGUAAAAAUACUUGUCCUGUACUCGACCUAUAAAUCUAACUUUGAAAUGUCAUCAUGCAUCUUUUUUUAGACCUAAAACAGAAGCAGGUUUUUGUUUCGAUGGACACAAAAUCAUAAAUCUGUUCUACUUUGUACUGAAAUAUGCAUUUCUGUGCUGAUGUUUUGAUUGGUGAGAGCUCUUUUGGAAGUGUUUCCUCGUCAAUACGAUCACUUCCACUACAGAGUCAUGUCUGUUUUUAAUGAUCUCAGCCAUCCUGAAUUGAUUUCCCUUUUUACACAAAGAUUUCUCCAGAUUUUCGCUGAAUUUCUAAAUGUCUCGAGCCAAUGCGGUGACCUCCACUUCAGAGACAGGGCCUUUUUUAGUGCAGUGCUGCCUCUUGUAUUUUAAAUUAUAUCAUAAACUUUUUUAGAUAAUGAAAUCUCUGAGAAGUCUGAGAAACAUCACUGUCAAACUGUUGAACUGUUGGCUCACACGGUCUCUAACAGCGUCGUGUCGUUCAUGAACGUUUCGUCCAAAAGUACAGAACUGCUGAGUGAAAGACGUGAAAUGAAUCACUCCGAUACCUGAUUCGUUUCUUUUCUCAGUUCAGUUGAGUUCAGCUGCGAGCCUGACGUGCCGGUCGGGAGUGGAACUGCCGCCUUCGACUCUUUGGCGAACGACACACAGCCAGUGAGCGAGUGGAGUCUUGGGAUUUGCUCACAGAGAAUGAACGAUAUCAGUAAGACUGUGAACGAAACGAACAACAUGAGUCAGGCAGAGGAGGGAGGGGUGUAGCGUCGUUCAUGAACUGCCGAGCAGCAGUUAGUUGACUGGUUGGUUGAAAUACGCUAUUUGAUAUCUUUAAAAGUAGCAGAAUCCCCGCUACAGCUGCCAUGUUUAAUUAUUUUUAAUCUCUCUCCUUUUUCCGCGAAAUAAAAGAACGACGACUUGCGCUCGUUUAGCGGCGUGCUGCUCGCUGCUGUGUUGUUUCCUCCGACGGCGACACACAGAGAGGUGAGUUUUUCAGGGCAGGGGAGUGAUUCUUCCUUCAGGACUUGGCGGGUGAACGACAUGUGUCACCGUGAACGACGCCGUGACUUCAGCAGCAGGGGAGGGGAGGGGCUCGUUCAAUGAACGAACUCGCCGCUGUGUCACUCACUCAUGUACGGGGCUCUGAAGCACUGACUGAUUCAGUGAACGAAUCUUUUGAACGAAUCAUUUUAAUGAACGGAUUCUAAAGAUUCAGUACAGUCAAAACAAUGGUUCUUCCUAUCACUAGUCUCUCACAGAGUUAUAAAGCUGGUUCCAUCUUUACUUCUAAGACACUCUACUGCCCUAAAAUGUCCCCAUUAAGUAUAUAUAUAUAUAUAUAUAUUCCACAAAACCCUCAAAAUUAUCAGUUUUAUUAUUUGUUGUGUCUUCGCUCUUUUUCACUUAAAUGUUAAAUUGAAAUGAUUUAGAAAGUGUCCUGACUUUUUAAAGUUGUGGUUGUUCAUUUUUGGUUAUCUAAGUCCGGAUCAGUGUCUCUGUAGGGCAGCAUCAGGCCUGAAGGUCACGGUUGAAUAGGUCUACUAUAAAAGAAAAACAGAGAUAUUAUAAUAAAUCAGCCUCCUUUUUAAGUCGACUUAAGGAAUUCAUUUGUUUCUGCAGAAGAACCCUGAGUACGUUCAGCUCGAGCUUGGUGCAGAUUAGCAGCUGACAUUUAUGAGUUUCCUUUCUUUCACACUCUGCAAUCAGAUGAAAAGGAACUAAUCCAUCAGUCUAUUUCAAAGCAAAACCAAGGUUAGGUUAGGGACAGGUGAUCUGCUGGUUGCCAGGCAACAAACAAAGAGAGAAAAAGUUAAAUCACAUCUUCGCUCAUUUAAUUAUAGGCCUCUGUGAAGCUAUGUUGCUGCACCUGAAGUUCUCGCUGUCCUCUUGAUACCUGCUCAGUCUGACUGUGUUGUAAACUGACAUAAGAUCAGUUAGUAUUAUACAGUAAAUGCUUAUUUUUAGCAUGUUAUAACAACAAUGAAUAAAAACCUUUAGUUCUAUGUGGUUUAUAAGAAUAAUACAGGAUGUUUGGACAUUAUUGUGAAUAUUUGUUUAUUUGUAUGUUUGUUUGGAACCCCAUUAGCUUCCACAAAGUGGUUGCUAGUCUUCCUUAAAAUCACAAUACAUACAGUUUCGUUUUAAAGUCCUUCUUAUUUGCUGUGUGCUCCCAAGGUAGUUGAUUCCACAUUUCCAAAGAUCUAAAUAAAACCAUUCUCCUCAUAAAAUUGGACUUGGAGAAAGGAACAGUUAAAUGACCAGAGCUGACCUGCCGAGUGACAUGUUGAUGACAGUAGCCACUGUACACCAAUUAGUCCACAAAGAAAGUUGGAUACCCUUUGAAUAUGGCAGUAUAACAAAGAAUAUUUAUAUUUAACUUGUUCUGUACCUUUAACCGCUCUAAGGUGGUGUGCAGCUCAUUCACAUUCAUUCUAUAAGACAUGUUAGUUAAUGUUAAUGUACGUUGGCCUGUAAAAGUGCUAUAGUAACGGAAACACGUCCAACUUUCAAAGUCAAGGAAGGACUUUUUAAAUCAAAUCUUUAAAUCACCAUUUAGUAUCAGUUUAUUUAAACUGGGGUCAGAUUUCGUACAGGUACCGGGAGGUCUCACCUCACCCUGUUUGGAUUCUGUAUCAUAUAACCACCAACUAACUACACAUUAUACUCAACUAUCCACAAUCACAGUGAAGAUGCUUUUAGACGUCUGUAUCAGAAGUACCUAACAUUAGAGAUGGGAAUCACUAGAGGCCCCUUGGUAGGAUAUUAUCACGAUACUUGGGCAACGAUACAAUAUAUUGCGAUUUAUACAUUUUUUUUUUUUUACUGUUUAGCUAAUUUAGCAUUUGCCUUUCCUUUAUAUUUGUCUUAUUUACUCUGUAUUUUCUUGGAGGCGCCAAAAUCAGGCAACUGGACUGUGUAGAGUUGAGAAGACGUUUCGCCUCUUAUCCAAGAAGCUUCUUUAGUUCUAGAACAGUCCAGUUGCCUGAUUUUGGAGCCUUCAAGAAAACCACGACCUGGAUGAAUGAGAAUCUACAUGGACAUACUCUGAAUCUUAUUUUCAUGUCGCACAUCUUGCAAACCUUAUAUAUUUUCAUUGUACUAACUCUCUCCUGCUCUAUAAUGUCUCCUCUGCCAACCUCACUGAACAAACAGUUGAUUUUAUUUUCCAUUAUCAUAGAUUUGACUUCAUUUAAGAAAUUAAUACGAUAUAUCACCAAACAAAAUAUCAUGAUACUAUGCUGUAUCAAAACCUAAUAUUGGUAAAUGGUUGCAUGGGCUAAAAAAAGAGACCUACUUUGAUGUAUUAUUGAUUCAUUUUUUAACAUCUUUGUUUUAUUUAUUGGACGUUUUGUGCAUCAGAGACAGAAUAACUGGGCUGUUUCCCUGUUUAAGAUUUAGUUUGUUGUUUCCACUGAUCAUUUUUAUGAUUAUUUUAAAAGAGUUCACCGAAAAUGAAAAAUGUGUGGUAUGACUGUGUAUGACAGGGCUCCUCAGUAUGGUGUAAUAUUCACUUCAGCCACAUGGUGGAGCUAUACAUCUGUAAUAUCAGGAUGGUGCUGCAUGGUGAAUAUAGAUGAACACUCAGGGAGGACAGUGUCUCAAAAAUAUACAAAAUAAAGUUUUUUUUCUUUUAUUUUUAAUUGUUUUGAAGUCAUUUUUUUAAAUUGGUUAAACUCAGUUACGGCGCACUGACCUCAGAUUUUUAUGUAUUAAAAAAUGUCAUUUGUAUUUGUUUAAUCGAGUUCUUAUCAGUGAAAAUGUGAAUGAGUUUUUGAGCGUGUGUCUCAUUAAGUAGCUUCAAGUCUGGAGCUGUAAUGACGCCCCGGUACGGCGUUUCUGGGUAACCUGGCGCGUUGAUAUUAACGGGUCACCAGAGUUCGUUCUCAAUCUCUUUGGAGCGCUGCCAUUGGUCAGACAUGCCUGCAGUUGGUGCCAGCAUACGAUUAGCCUUUAAACUGAGCCUGACUUAGUACAGUGGGCAUAAGGUGGAGCGAGAUUAGGGUUAAGUACUUUGUGAGGACUGUGUGUAGAUUGGACCGGACUGGAUUUUAACAUUUUUGAGAGGCAGAGCUGUAAAAUUAAGCUGAUUAAAAACAGGGGAGGUGGACUUCCAGUAAAUUAGCUUAAGCUCGGCUUUGAAGGCAAGGGUCAAAAGUUCCCGAUGACCGUUAAACAUUUAGAGGCUGAUGCACAACGCCUAUUGGUAAACCGACAUUUAAAACAGGUUACAACGAAUAAGAAACACACAAGAAACAGUGCAAAACAAAAAAACGGAGCAUCCAUAGCAGCAAGAAAAGUUUCCACAAAUUGUCCAAAAUGCGUGCGGCUGUGUUGCGCGUCACGCUGACGGAGGUUUAAACUAUUGAGACGUGGAACAAAGAUGAGGGGCUGACAGAGGCUCCACUGGAGAGGCUCUACAGCACUGAAUAGGAAGUUGGGUGAAUAGGAUUUGGAGGGGUGACAAAUCGAACAGGGGAUUAGGUAUGUGUGCCUGUUUGUGUGUGUGUGUGUGUGUGUGUGUGUGUGUGCGUGUGUGUGUGUGAGAGAGAGAGAGAGAGAGAGAGACACCAGCUGGCUGAGUCCUCCUCUCUUUAACUGAGGAGGCGUGUGUGUGAAUGUAUGUGUUUUUUUAAGUAUGCGCUCGCUCUGUUCGUACUGAGACAAACCCGAGUAUAAACCUGCGUUAAGAUCACGUGUUUCCCUGCACUCAUGAAUUCUUCAUUUUCCAUCUACACUCACUGACCAUCUCUCUGUGAGAAAGAAACAGUUUCAUCUAAAGUACGAUCAACCAAAGAGAUAACGUCUGAUGUGAGAGGACAAGAGUGGACACUUCAGCCUCUCCACUAAGAAACUCCUCCAGUAACAUUUGUUUAGAGUUCAAAAGACCUUUUUAGGGUGAGUUAGAGUUGAGACUGUUUAUAGAACAGACGCUCUCUACCUCCUCGCUGGAUGAAACACCACGAGAACAGCACCCUCUGGUGACGGGCUGCAGUAUAGGUCAUAAACCCCGCCUUCUCCAGCAAUCCCUAUGGAGCUGUGGACACACUUUUGAAAUUAAUUACACAGAGUUCGGCGACUCUCCCGCCGUAUGCUUACAAUGCUACUGCGCAAUGUUAGUUUCAGGAAGUGAAGAAAAAACCUGGAAAUGCCGAGAGCUUUUUGGCUUUAAAUGCGUAUACUGGCGGAAGGCGGAGCCAAGUUGUCCAUAAUAUAUACAGUCUAUGAUAAAAACCAAGUGACUACGUUCGGUUGGCAGUGCAGCUAGUAUUACCCUUAUUUUGUUGAGUUAGCGUCACUAUUGAUGGAAAUGUUUAUAUUCAUGGUAGAACAUCCAAAGGGCCUGACAGUAAACCCAUUUUCAUAUGACAGUAAUAAAGUUAAAUAUCAAACUUACUUUUCCAUGUAUUAAAGUACUGUAGGGACGUUUGUGAGGUCUAACAGGAAUAUUACAUCACCCUGAAACCCUUAAAACCAUCCCUGUAGGAUUUUUUCUUCAAACCUUGAACAAACAAAAAGAAAGAGUAAGCAAACACUUCCUGCUUUCCAAACUUUCAAAUUGAGGAAUGGUGCAAUUACAGAGACUGAUAGUGCUUGAUUUUUGUUUUUGCUGACUGCACACCUUGACGGUGCAUUAAUUCACAGUUUAUCAUCCAUAUAGAGUUUUUUUUUGUUUUUCCGCUUGAAUCACCAUUAGUCAUAUUUUAUGACUCACUGCGGUUAUAUAAGCUUCUUUGUCGGUGCUUCUAAAGCUGCUAUAGUGGCUGUUGUUCCCAGAAGAUGCUUAAAAAAGUAAAGAGUGGGAUGCUCUCAUGGUUGCAGGCUAUAUGGAACAUGCGUGAUGUUUAGGCUCUGGUGCCAGAAGACGUGGGCGAGUGUGAGCAAAGAGAACUUUCUGUUUCUACAAAUAGAUUAGCACACUUUCAAUCACUCCAGGAUUUGAAUAAAGGCAAACACUGCUGCUGCGGUGUCAGACCCUGUUGAAAAGCAGAAUUUAUGGCAUCGUUUUUAUAAGCUGCAAUUUCUUAAAGCAGAUACUGUGAAUGUGAAUUGAGCGGCUUUUGCUCCACUAAUGCAUUCGAAUCAACAAGCCAAUUAUCGCCAGUGUAAUUAUCUUCAACAGGCUCAGUGUAAAGACUCAGUUUGUCAUUGAUUGACCAUUGACUGGCAGGAUUCGUCCUUGUGGCAAAUUGCUUUUUAAAAAUUCCUCUUUUCCCUCCUUGCAUUGAUUUUCAAGGGACAAUGGGGAAGUCAAUAACAAUUCAGAGGUUUUACAACCACUGAUUUAAAGUGAGAAUGAGGCACAUAAAGAAGCGUUUCAGAAGUGUUACGAGCCGUAAUACUGCAAGGUCAGGUUUUGUCAGAGAAAAUGAGCUUGGAGAACCGCCUGAAGGUCCUGAAUGCUGGACCUAUCUCAAGAAUAUGGAUAUUUGCAUGUGGAGACACAAAGCAGGCUGGUAUUAUCUGGGCCGUUUGCUAAACCCUAUCUGAAAGAGCUCGUCCAAUCAUUGACUACACGCUCGUAUCUUGGCACAUUAAACCUGACGGGUGUUUUCUCCAUGCAUACAUGCACAGAGCAGAAUGAGAGGCAUGAUUACCAAUGAGAGAAACCGGGAAAUACCGUAAAAAUGCCACAAAAACAACCAUCUAGGUCAGUCGAUACCGUGGGAAAACAAAUCAGGGAAGAGUGAAGGUAGACGCAGCUAAUUUUGCCGUCUAAAAGGCUCUGAAACAGCAUCUUAAACAAACUUGCAAAUGCAUCAGUCUGACUGAAAUCACACUAGAUCCAAUAUCUUAUAAUCGAACAGACAUACUUAAACAAUGUGGUUAGGUUUAAUUUUCUCUUCUAUGUGGACCAAUCAGUUCUGAGUCUGCUCGGUUUUUAGGAAGGAAGUCAGAUAGUAAACAAAACCUCAAAUGACAAAAAACGAAGACUAAAAAAGACCAAACUUUCCUAAAGUACAAAGAAAACAGAGCAGUAGAAGUGAGCAUGAAAGACUCAUUCUUGUCUGGUGUUUGUAAACUGGGAUCAGGAUAGUAGUCCAAUCACCUCGCCUGCUCUGUAGGCUGUACCCACACCUUGACUUAACUGCAUGUAAACAUUACAAAAGUCAGUCGAUAAGAGGACGUCUGGCUGAAACUGUCUCCUGGUACCUCCUGGUAGGGUAGUUCAGCUCAGCCGUUGUCAGCUUUGAUAGUUAUAGGAUGCAGACUUUACACUUGUGAUCACUUUGCACCAUUGCCCUCUGAUGAUUGCUUUAAAUAGGGUGAUCAUAUUCUGAAUCCCCAAAAAGAGGAGACAGCUACCCGGGGGCAGAGUCACGGAGUCAUGCGUAGUUAAUUUUUAGAGUUUUUCGGGUCGGAUGAAGUUUUUUUUACACGCUUCCAACUCAGUUAGUUCACGCUACACAAACUCAAAACUUCAUACAAAUCCGCAGACACUUGAAGGAUUUUAUAAACUCCCCCGGACAAGGCCGAAGAGCCCCCCAAAAAGAGGACAUGUCUGGGUAAAGAGGAUGUAUGGUCAUCCUACUUUAAAAGGGUUUUUACUUAAUAAUGUGCUUCAGAUUUCUCCAGAUGCACAAUUUUAACUCUUACAUACCAAAUCUCAAGAUAGUUUGAAUUCAGAGUAAGAAAUCUGCAGCUGUUAUAGAGAGUUAGACUGUUAAAAUAAUAUAUGAAAGGCUGAAAAUGUAAAAUAAGGCUCAGCGAAUGGUUGAUUUGGAUUUAGUCACAUGGGGGUGUUUAUAGAAAUUAAACCCUGAUGAUCAUCAUGGAUCCACUUCCAGAUACCAGAGAGAAGGAGGAAGGUAGUGACUACUAUGUAUGUAUGUAUGCACACACACCCAUACACCCCCGCCGCCCUCCCCCUUGAAUCGCCCGUGGCCUGGCCUUAAGAGGAGUUCUGUUGCUGGGUAAUGAAGAGGAGGGAGGCUGCGAGGCAGGUGCUGCUGCCGGGGAACAGUGGACCACUUGUGGCUCCGUUGAGUGUCUCUCCACACUCACCCAUCUCCUCUCUACCCCUCAGCCCCCCCCCGCCAACCCUUCAACUUCACUUCAUCUCACACUGUCUCACCCCCAUCGUCAUCACGAGCAGGUGUGAGUGUGAUCCCCCUGCCUCCUGCCCGUCAACCUCCCCCGCUCCUCGCCGCAGCCGCCGUUUUCUCUUUUUUUAACCACUACCUACAGAGUCAAUUUAUGGCUGAACACGUCUGCGCUCUGAUUGGUUCAUUUACAUACGGAGCAUUGAGCACACAGUCUAAUCAGAGUCUGAUUUAAAUUCCUGGAGUGAGGAAGGGGUGUAACCUACGUGUGACUCAGCCUCCGUUAUGUUUAUUCUACUGGCUGCAUUUUUGUACCUCGACUGCAGACAAAAAAACUGCAAAAAAAUCAAACAAAAAUGUGGCAAAACAUCAUCGUUUUUGUCCUGGAAAUAUAAAAGUGCAAGUAGAGGACUGGGGAAAAGUUCGGCGUCACAUAGAGCUCCUAAAAACGGCGUCUGGCUGCAGUUACGGCCACUCCUUUAAUGUGUCGCUGAUGUGAACAAAAUGUGCUCCACAGAUGAGUCUCAUGACAGUCCUCUCAAGGGUAAUGGGCUCUGAAUGAGGUGACGAACUAUUAAGAAGUGAUCAAACUCCCAUUUAGGACAUCAGUACAGCUCAUUUUCCCGUGCUUUGUCUCCGCACAGAUGGAUGGCCGUGCCAAAACAAAACACGUGUAAACCUCCGAUUUCCAGGAGAUGAAACCUGCUCUCUCUGUGUGUGUUUACUUUGACAUCAAAUAUGAACAAAUCAAUAGGACAUUAACUUUAUAAAUCACGGUUCUGUUGAUCCGAAUGAACCCAAAUAUAUCCGCCAGCUUUUAUUUAAUCAGUGUAAACACAGACUGGUGAACUAUCCACCGAUGACACCGAGUCUAAUUAUUCAUAAAUAAUAAAAUGUUAAGGGAGGACUUUUGACAUUUUCCGAAAAUGUCAAACAAUUCAUUUCAACAAUUGAGGUUUAUUGUUUUAGUUUGCAUAUUAAGUCUCUGCAGUCAACCUUGAAACUGAUGAGCUGCGUGUGUUUAUGAAGCAUCUACCUGGUUCAGCUGUCCUUCAUCACCACUGAAUGUCACUGAAGAUUGUUUUUCAUGAGCUGAUAAUAAAAACACAGAAGUGAAAUAUGAACUGAAGGAGUUUUAAUAGUAAUGUGGACUCAUCUAUUGUAAGUCUAGACACUUCAGUCAAAGCAGUUAUCAACAAGUUGUUAAAUGAAAAGUUUUAAACAAUUUUGUUUAAUUUUGGUCAAAGUGGGAAAUUUUUGAGUAAUUUUUUUAGCUUAAAAAAAGACGUUAAAGGUGGUGUAGUCAGGAUCUGAGGAAGUUCCAGUUUUUGGGAGAAAUCUUGAAUGUAAACUCUACCCCUCCAACCAGUUUUCCCCUCAGCUCCUCCUCUCCCCUCAAGCCCCGCCCACAAACAGACGCUCCUGCUCGCUCGUAUCGUUCUGAUUAAAUUCAGAUAUAAUGCAGAUAAAUACUUCAGAUCAUUACAAAUGGGGCCCAGUCAAGGUGAAAGUCAAAAGCAUUGGUGCUACUGUAGAUGCCAACAGACUACCAGCAAACACAAUGUUUGCAGGACUUCUACAACGAGGAUAAAGUGACAUAGUCCAGGACCCGAGGGAGGACAGUUUAGCGAUGGCGCUACAACACGCUACAGCAGGUCCGUUUGACAAGAAACACUUCUGUUACAGACACUUGUCUUACUUUGUUAAAGCGGUUUACCUGUCCAGCAGAAAGGUUACAGGGUCACCAAGAUCCCCAAGCGUCCCCCAUCGUUUAUGUUGACCCGGCUUUUUAGCUCUUGUCCGGUCUACAGAGAAGUUACCAACUUUUCCUCAGUCCAUCCUGUCUUUAGCAAGUUUAUAUUUGGUUUUCUCAUGCGGUGAUAUCCACCUUAGAGUCACUAUAGAUUACAGCCACCCAGUAUUGGUUUCUGACCUUGUCCGUUUUGCACAGAUUUCUCUAGAUUCUUCAAAUCUUUCGUAAAAUCAUGAACUAAAGUUGAUGAAAGAUUCAAACUACUUUUAAUUUUACAUCGAGGAAACUUUGAACUUUGAAACUGUUGAAUUAUUUGCUCACACGGUCUCUCACAGAGUGGUGACCCUCCUCUCGUUUGAGGGUGACCAUCUUCUGAAUCCCCAAAAAGAGGACACGACCACACGGGGGCGGAGUCACGGAGUCAUACGAGGUUAAUUUUGAAAGUUUUUCGGGUCAGAUCGAGUCUGGUCACAAACUCGAAUGUUGCGUACAAAACCCCGGACAUUUGACUGAUUUCAUAAACUCCCUCAGGUAAAAGAGGACGUAUGGUCACCCGACCUUCGCUGCUUUGUUUACGGUGAAAUAAUUAUUGGGGACAUUGGGUUUUAUCUAGAACAGGUAAUAAAAGAAGAACUAUACCACCUCCGUGUCUGAAACUUUAUGAUUACGGCCAUCUUGCACUCAACACAUUCCUGUUUCAUCAGCCUUCACAGUUAAAUCCCUUCCUCUCCAUGUUCCAGCCAUGUUUUUUUCUCAUGGCCGACUCUCACUCUUCUCUAAUUUGAAGGUCGUUUUCCAUUGUGGAGAAAUCACCAGUGUGAGCGCCACAGAGGAAGCUGCUUCAAACAGCCAGCACCACGGCGCCCGGAUCGUGCACAGCCAGGGAUCAUAUGCCCUCUCAUCUCCAGCGACCAGGCGCAAUCUAUUUCUCAUUCUCUUCUCAUUGUUGACACACUGUCAUUGCAGAGCCGGGCUGCCUAGCAACAGAAUCCUGGCAGACGUUUUUCCAAUCUUCUGUCAGGCGGGGAAGCUCCGCCCCUCUCUGUCCCUGGAGGAAUGAUGGAAAGGUCACUUCACUCCUCGCCGUGUCUGACAGCACACAGAUUGUCUUUUCUGAAAACUCUGAGGAGUGUGUGAGUGUGUGUGUGUGUUUGUGCAUGUGUGUUGGAGGUCUGAGAGGUGGAGGGGGUGGGGGGAAUCACUCACUGAUGAGUGGGCAGAGUGGAAGCACUUUGCUCUCCAUAGACCCGGGGAUCGAACGCUGGAGGAGGGGGGUGUACUACCGAAUCGAUGAUGCCACACUUUCCUCAUCUCGGUCUGAAAGUGACCCCCGUCGGUCUGCUCCAUUGUUGUUCUUCAGGAGGUCUGAGGCCCCGCGGAGCCGAGUUAUCGGAAAACUCUCUCUUUUUAUCUUUGUUACAAACUGGGUCAUAGUAAAGUGUUUUUGGCCUUUUCAAAAAUACGAGUUACGGGAGGGUUUGACUCACCCGCUUCACGCUGAGACGUAGGAACGAGCUGGCAACUCAUGAAAGAGCUUAAACAGAGGAGCCCACGGGAAAACCCACAGGAGAGUACAGGCCGGUUCUGAAGACAAAUAUAGGAUCUCCACCUUCUUUACGCUCUGAAAACACUCGUUUAUAUCACUGAUGCGCUUUUUCGGGGGCUGGCGUGGACAUUCACAGAGUCAGGCCCGAAAGCUGGAACACUUUUAAGCUCAAAACUCUCCCACCCUGACUGUUUUUUGAUGAAUUAUUCUGAGUCACAGCUGUUUUAGCAGUAAUUUUAAUGUUUCUCUCAUCUAACAUACAAGUUUGAUGUGAUGCUGCAUCUCUUGGAAAGGUAAGCCUAAAAAAAUGAGAUUAAACAAAGGUCAAAUAAAGUUAAGCCAAGUUUUUAGAUACCUAGAGCGCUGAGCGUUUUGUUGUUUUCCAUCUAGUUUUAUGCCUAGAACCCACUUUGUGUAAAUAGCAUGAGAACUUGCUGUUUACAACUAAGGAUGGCGCUAAAGAGGCGUGUUUAGUUUGAUAUGAGAUGUGGCCAAACACUUGGGCUGUCACGUUUUAUCCAAAAUUCAAACGUUCACUCGAACUCUGGGGAAAAGGUCGAAUUGAAACGGUAAAAUAAGCCGCUCUGACUCAUAAUAAUACAGCAUGUCACACACACACACACACACACACACACACACACACACACACACACACACACACAUUUCCUGUCUCUCUUCAGCUGAUCUAUCUACUAAAGGCAAAAAAACGCACAAAAAUAUACAUCUACGUUUUGAAAAACUGAGGUGGCUCACUGCUAUCUUUAGGACACCGAAAACUUCUGCACCUUCAACUGACAUAAAACUGGUCAUUUUUUAAUACAAUAUUCAUAACUGCUACCUUUAAAUGCCACCAACCAUCAUGCCAUUGUGCACGCGGAUUAAAAUACAGCUCUUUGAUACAGCAGUAAAAAUCAGUACAUCAAGAUUAAAGGCCGACCUUUCUCUAAUAAAAAGCACACGGGUCACUUUUUAAUCAAUCCUGUCCAACACAGUUACUGUGCACUUCUACCAGUUUGGAGAAUCACUCUGUAUCUGCUGUUUGAAGAACCGUUUCAGUGGAUUUUACAUCAUUAGAUGCACUGACAUAACUAAAACAGCGACUAGUGUGUGAAGUCGAGUGUGCCGUCUGGAGCCAAGUACCAAAUAAGUAACAGGCAAGUCAAAAGUUAAAUAUUUGACUUCUCACUCUUCUACAUUUUUACAGCGACUCUAGACAAGUAAAGACGCAGAUAAAACACAACAACCAGCAAUCCUAAUCUACAAACCAAAAGUCCUGAUGAGUCAUGAGUUUAUCUUCAUUAAAUUCAAGUGAACUUUGUUACAUAACACAGAGGUAGAUUCUGAUGAAGCCCAGAUAUAAAAGCAAAACAAACAUGAUGCAAAAACGUGCGUCACUCCGGUAACUUCUCAACAAACUGUCGGCUGAGUGUAAAAAACUGUUUUCCAUCAAAAACCCUGAGUUCAUGUUUUUGGAUUGAGAGCAGAAUGAGUCAUCUGUUGUAAAAAGAUGAGAAGGGAAUCAAAACUAAAUGUCUGUGUUGGUGUUCUGGUUUAAUCUGACCCACGCCACAUUAGCUGGACUGUGAAACUCAGCGGGGUGGGUGUAGAGGGCUACAUGUUCAUUCAGAUGGAGGAGCUCUUGGAUUGGGGGGUGGAUUGACAGAUUGACGAGGUUUAACUUUCAGCCUCUUUAGGAUUUAAAUCAUGGACGAAUAUUUCCUUAAAAUUAAAGGGACGGUUCUCUUGUUUUUGUAUGUAGUGGUCUGAGAGUCUCAGCCUCUCUGUCCGUGUUACUAACCUGUUGUAAAAUUAACCAAAAGAGUUGGGAGGUGAUGUUUAUUCUUCUCUAUAAAUCGGCUUUUUGAGUUAGUGUGCAAAGUUUCAAGUGCAGUUCUAAACAAGCUCUCAGGAAACUGCAGUUUUUCGCACUUCUGCUCGACCUUGAGCCGCUCAGUGUGGUACAAACAUCACAAGAAUGCCAAUCGCUCAUUAAUACCACUUUAAAUCUAAUUAGGUUCACAAUCUACACCCUCUCUUGAAGUUUCGAACAUGCUGAAAAUCAACAUCGAUGUUUUGGUUUCACUUUCUAAAAAUCAGCUAAACAACACAGUUAAACUCUUGGUUCCCAGGCCAGUUUCUAAGCUGAGCUGGAUCCGAACAGAACAACUCAAGACUCGAGAACCUUUUAUAUACAGUUAGUAAUUAUAAAAAGCUCCAGUGUUACAAAAAAUUAAUUAUUUAACUCAUUUCCAUUUCUAUCAGAGUUUCCUUUCAUCUUCAACAUCCACUUUUUCUCCUCCUGACCCGAUCAAUAAAGUUACACAUCAUUACAAGACGAAGAACAAGACAGUCAGAGCUCCAUAGGCAACCUUCAAAGUCCUCCAGAUGCAUAAUGGAGGAGAAGUAAAGGACCCGUCCCUCAUUAACAUUCCCCACAGUCACCUUCAACAAUGCCUUUUCCUGACUGUGAGUGGCAGCACUCAGCAGGGAGAUGGAUUUCCCUGUUUUCAUGUCAGAAUAUUUUAAUGUGUCAUCAAAGUGGCAGCUCAUUUCUGGCACAGCGAAACUCUAAGCCCGAGCCAAACACUGGAACAAGAAGUCUGUCUGAGGGAUAAUAUUAGCAUACUGCCUCCACCGUUUGAUACGAGAAGCAAUUCAGACAAGACUUUAUUGACUCUGAGGCAGGCGGAGUGCUGCAGUGAUUGUAGACCUUUGUGCCAGUGGCAUGAAAAUAGAGAUUGCAGCACAGGCAGAGGCUGUAUGUAGAGUGUGCGAGACAAAGACGGAGAGAGAGAAAGAGAGGGAAAGAGAGAGAAAGGAGGCGGGUUUCUUUUUCUAAACCAAACACAGACUAGUGACAAGUCUUUAAAUCCUGGUUCUGCUUAAACACACUUUGGAUUAACAGGCCUCCGAGGAGCAUCCAAAAGAAGCUUUCUAAAUAUUCAACCCUGAGCGAGAGAAACUAGAAACUCACACAACCAGACAGAAUAAUUUCAAGAACAAUUUGGCAGAAUCCAAAAGCAGAAACAGACAGAUUAAUUCACCGAUUCAACAAAUCAGCAUCUCAGUCAAAAAGCGAAUGCUGCCCUCAUCUUUCUUUAUGAUUACACACUUUUUUCCACCCUAAAUAACAGGGUCUCAGAUCUCUAACAGCUUCUUUUAUCAGCUCAUUCACUUGACAAAUACAAAUAUAAGAUUGGGACUCAGAUGAUUGGGAACUACCGCGUCUGCAGAGCAAAAUGAUUAAUAUAGUGAUUAUUACUUCAAGGAAAUGAUUAAGAAAUUAUCAUAAAUGUUCUUCCUUGAGCUGCGUUCCCCUGCUGUAGUCCGUAAUGGAGUGGCGUUUUGGUUGAGGGCGUGGCUCUCUGUAUUGCUAUCCUGCGGUCGUUACUAAAGUUGGUGAACUAGAGAAGCAAGCGGUUGACAACAUUCAUCUCUGGAGGGGGGGUCUAACUCGGUGUUACGGUGUGUUUGACCCUAAAUUAAUUUUAAGCCAGAAUAUCCCUUUAAGUGUAACGUCACGUCUGUUCUGCGCACCUGAUCGGCCUUUACAACCAAAAGUGUGGGCUUUUAUGCCAAACUCAGCCAACCUCCACUAAGACUGGUAUCAAUCAUCAUUCUGUUGUUGCCACUUAUUUUGAAUAUCCAUACCUCACUUUUCAUCAUCUCUCAAUAGCAGACUGUUGUCACAAGAAGCUAACCGGUGCUUGGAAAACGACUUAAACCACUCUAAUAUUGAACUCUACAUCCACCUUAAGAGACUGACGGAUAUAUUAAUCCACAAAAAAGCAGAGAAACCAAGAACAGAAAAGUCGCGGCCCUGCUACGACAACCACACUUGCUGUACAUCAUCCUUCAUAUAGGUAACAAAGCUCCUCUGAAUCCUCUGAAUGUUGCGCUUUUAUAACAUGUCUAUGGUUAAAAUGGAAAAAGGACAGAGGUUGGUUCACAUGGUGACAUUAGAAAACAAAAAAGCGACUCUCAGUAUCUCUCUGUGGUUCUCAGAAUUCACGAUGAACUAAGUCACCUGUGGUUAAAAGCCUCCAUCAGCGGCUCCUCACACUCUUAUUUCUGUGAACUUCUGUGAGAGAGACAUGUACUUGUACCUUGCUGCUACCGCUUCGCGCCUCGCCGUCCAUAGCCUGUGUGAGUCAUUUCCUUUUCAGAGAGUCUGGGCUCUUCAGUCCCACUUCAGAGACCACGGAGAGGAGAGAGGGGGCCACAACCACCACCACCGCCAGUGUCCUGUGAAAUGUGGAGAAAUCAGUCAAGAGUUACUGGAAGUUUUCUCUGUGAAAUCUUGAGCUGAAGAUGUCUUACCAACACAACAAUUCACAGAAAUGCACACGAAGGAGGCUGUAGAGAAGAUAUACAACAUUUAACAGCAACAAGACUACAGCAGUUUAAAAGGAGCUAAAACUACAAAGUUGUUAUUAAAAAUGUUUUAAUAGUCACAUGAAAAAUUUUACUGAGAUUAACGGGGAAAAUCUGAAAAUAUAAAAGGCAGGUACAUAUUUAAAAGAAAAACCUAACCCUAAACAAAUUCUAACAAAAUGUUUCUCAGCUGUUUUUUAUAGUAUUAGAUGUCCUUAAUAACAAACUAAAGUUUACCAAAGUUUGACCACUAGAAAGGUGUCAUUUUCAAGAUGGUAUCCAUAAUGGGUUGGAGGCCCAGGUGAAUACAGUAAAAUUUUUAGCUAACAGAUAUCACCAUAAAACUUCCCAAGUUUAUAACUUACAUUAAGACAAAUAAUUUUUGUAUUACAAGUUUUGUCAGAUGUUAUGUUUGAACAUCUAAAUAAGGUAACAUCUAAUUAAAUAUGUGUGAAUUUGCAGACAUUUCCAGAACCGAAAACUGGACAAUGGAUAAAAACCCUUUCAAAAUUCUUUUUUUAUUUUGUUGACAUACUAGAGUCAGAAGAGGACUUUGGAUAUCUCUUUUUAUCACUCUGUAAAUGAGAAAAUACUCUCACCACCCCUAAACAUUCAAAGAUCUCCAUGCGACACUGUCUGUGGGUCACAAGUUGUGCUUGUAAUCACUUAUCUAUCAUACAAAUAUGCUAACUAGAAUAUUACAUGGUCUAAACAUGUCUCAGGCGCCAGUAUUCCUAAUCUUGAAUUAAUACAAAGAAGUAAUGGUCAUUUUAAGGACCUGAAAAAAAACAUGGAGAGAUUUGUUAGAAAGUCAUAUUUGCGCCUGACUAUAACAAUAAUAACUUUAUUUAGCAGGCAAUAAGAUAAAUAAAUAAGUCAAUCAUGCAUCAUGUAAAAUUUAUGAUUUAAAAGAUGUUACUGAUUCAGCGUUACAAAGUCAAGGAGCCCUGACAGAAAAAGGCUUGAUCACCUUUCGCCUUUAGCCUCGACUUUGGACCUAAGGCUGUGGGCUGGCACAUAGGGAGUCAAUAAAUCGGAUAUGUAGGUUGGGGCCAGACCUACCAACAGCUUUUUUGAGAACAUCAACCGGUAAUUUAUUGAUGGUCCCUUAUUCAACACCCGAUGUUGACAGCGAGGGUGCCCUGUGGAUUCCAAUAUCCAACCUAAAACUAACUUCACUGCGGUGUUUACAUGAAAAAACAUUUGUUGCCUCGGCUGAUUUUUUUGUGUGCCCCUAAAUACAUUUUACAAUUCGCACACCUCUAUAUUUAGUCGCAAAUGCGAGUGAAAUGGUCGCACUGUCGAGUCUGAAAGUGAUCAGUAAGAGAGUGAUGUGAAACCGUCAGUUAAAAUCAGUUCAAACCAGCCGAGCUGCUGCGUUCCGGAACCAGUUGGAAGCGGGAAAGUGAUUUGUUACAGAGACCUAAGAAAAGGGAGUUAAAGUAGUCUAACUUUAAGAAGAUGAAUGCAUAAACGACCCUUUCUACAUCGGCGGGGGUAAUAAUGGAUAUAAACUGUUUAAUGCUGUUGUUAAGAUGGGGCUUGGUUUCAAGUCACACUGACAAGCUUCAAAACUCCUACAAAGUUGACAUCCACUAACACAAAAUGUUACUUUAACACUCUUAUAAGACUUCUGAUGUGUUUCCAAGUUACAACCACCAUGUUUCACCGAUUAAAACGUCGAAUUUUCUGAUAAUUGGGCGAGAGUCGCCAACAACGGUUCUUUGACUGAUACCUUUCUUCUUCUUCUCAUGAAUUUCCGGCAGAGACUGUACGUAAGGAGCGUAACGCUGCCCUCCACAGGAUACCUGGGCUGUGUCUCAUUUCAGAGACCGCAUCGGGCUAAGUGCACUUCUGCACCGUCGAACGGUGCAUUUGAAGCGUGCGUGACGUCACGACGGCGCGAACGGUGUCCCAUUUGGCACGAGAUGCUAAGAAAUGCUAAGCGCGCUUAGCAUUUUUUCGUGCCGUCGGUAUCCCAGAAUGCUUUGCGUGCCGCUGCACAGCUGCGCAUUUCAGGUGAGAGGCUGGACUCGCUUGGAGACACAGCGAGUCUUCAAAGAAAAUACAAGAAAUCCAAAACCAGCAGACAGUCAGCUCAGGCUGUAUGAGAGCAUGAUCUCUGAACUCACUAAAAUCUGUAAACCAAACAUUAUAGAUUUAGAGACAACUGAUCCGCUCUGCUACAACUAUCAAAAACAUUAGAAAUAAGAAAGCUGACAAAACUACAGCAGAGGAUCAGGACAACAUUGAGUUUUUUUUUCUUUUAAGAUUUAGAGAUUAAAGUUGUAAAUUUAGGAGAAUAAAGUCAUAAAGUAAAUAAAGUCAUAAAGCUGCUUUUGUGGAGGGGGAAAUGACUGAAGCUGGUCAUCUGCAGGGUUAUCUGUGGAUGUAUCAGCGGGUCAUUCAGCAAGAUUUUGUGGUUUCUGAAGAAACAAUCAAACUGAUGAUGAUCAACAUUUGUGAUCCAGAGGGAGUCGAGCUCAGACGAGCACCACGUCUCUGACACCGACGGUAACCUACACCUGCAGAGACACCAACACCUUAUUAUGGCAUAUAAUAAUAACCCCCCGCCAUCUUCAUGCUGUGAUUUAUAAGGUUUCCUGACAGGCGUCACACUUGGUUUUGCAGUAUGAAGUUAUUCUUUGUCUUUGUUUUUGGACUCAGAUGUGGUUUCAGAGCAGCAGAGAUCGACUCCCUUUUUCCUGCUAAAUAAAUCAACGAGAGACUUUUGUACUGGGUCAGGUAUACGACCUCCAUUUGAGCCAUUUUCACUCAUGCAUUUUUGGGCACCCCUUCUGAGAUGAUGAGAUACACCCUGAAGAAUGUGUGUACCAAAUUUGGUGCUUUUAUCCACCGCAUAACAAUUUGGCCAUUUUUUCAAGUUAACAGACCCUACUAUGAGGUGGUGUGUUCGAGCCUUUUUUGGGACAAGGGGAAUUUUGAAGUCUAGUGUCUACACAGGAAACUGAAAGAGGAAACAAGUGGUAUAAUCCUGUGUGUCCAAGUGGCUCAGGGGAUAAGAACACUGACUGUGACUCCUGAGGUCAUAGGUUUGAGUCCUACCUUGUCCACUUCUUGGUGAAUUUUGAAGGUCUAGAGUCUACAAAGUACAGUGAUAUAUGAAAAAAAUUAUUGUUGUCGCGUGUGUCCACACGGGUCAGUGGGUUCAAGCCUAUUGGGGACGCCCUCUGCUCAGCGACCGGCCAUCCGCCGCGCGGCGAAUGACCAUCGGCUGAGCAGAGGACUACGCCCUCAGCCAUCCGCCCCUAUCAUCCCCCCCAUCAACCCUUCUCCCCAUCCUUACUCUAAAGUUCAGCCUGCUCUGACUUCCUUUAGCAUAACCCCCCUAUUUUCUCUCUCUGCAAACACCGGGGGGGUAAGCCCAGACCACUGGGCUGAGCGGGUUUCGAACCAGGGCUGCCCAGCUGACCAGCAUUCUGGUGUCAGUUGCAUACCCCCUGCGCCACCGGAUACCGUCCACAUUUGGGGAUGAUGUUCGUGCCCUUUUAUCUUGGAACUUUGGCUGCUGGACUAUAAAAUACACCCUGUACAAGAUUUGAACGCACGACCUUAGGAUUGCCAGUGAGUCUCCUUAUACUCUGAGCCAUGUGGAUACAGAGGACUCUUCUGGUUUUUUCCUAUUUCACUGCCCUUUGUAGACACAAGGCUUUAAAAUUCACCUCAACUUGGGUAAGGUGAGGCUUGAAACCACAACCUUAAGAGUGCCAGGCAGUCUCCUUAUCCUCUGAGCCAUGUGGACACAGCCCCACACUGGGCUUUUGAUUGACAUGGCCAAUCAAAAGCCCAGUCCCACCUUCAGAACAGAGCUUCACAGUUUGUACCCAACAGUCAUUGCCAAGGAUCCAGAACUGAUUAUCAGUACUUUUAGGCUGGGUGAAUAAAAAAAUUGAUGGUUGGAAAAUUUAGCAGGAGUUAUCUUGUUUGUGUUUUUACAUUUUGGAGGAGCUGACAGAUGAAGACAAGGCUUGGCAUUAUUUCAAUGUGAUUAGACCCAGAACAUUGCUCACACCAACGAAAUGCAGGUGCUUUAAAAUUCAUUCAUCCUGAAUAAGGUUUGAACCCAUGACCUGAGGAGUCCCAGUCAAUGUUCUUAUCCUGUGAGCCAUGUGGACACACAAGCCACAUGGCCUACUAUAAGGAUAUAGAGGUAUAGGUUUGUCCACAAGGGGGUGCCAAACUCCAGACAGAGGCUUUAAAUAAAUUAUUGCUAACUCAAUUCUGGAGUAAAAUCACUUUAUCCCUUUAGUACAUUCAUAGUACUUCUCAGUUAAUAAUAAUAAUAAUAAUAAUCAUAAUGAAGAAACCAAAAGCACAAAUAAUCCAAAAGAUUAGGGAGUUAACAUCAGCAGCUUUUUUCUUAAAAUAAAAACAAACACAAGCUUCAACUUUCAAUUGCAAUUUAUUUCAAGUGACACUAAAAUGAAAAUCUAUGUUUAAAAAACUCAUGAACAGGAUCUAGCAGUAGUAUGUAGCAGUAGCAUGUAGUACCCGAGCGGGCAAUUCGGACGCAGCACAUGUGUUAGAGGCAGAAAAAGCGUAAACCAAUGCUGUGUCCGAAUUGCCCGCUCGGAUACUACAUGCUACUGCUACAUACUACUGCUAGAUCCUACUCCUAUAUACUAAACACGUUGGCCCAAUUCGGACACACUAGAUAAGCGGUGGGGAAAGACGGCCCCCGCAGGCAGAGAGUAGGUACUGCGCCCAUGCAGACAGUGGUAACAGAAGCCCUUCAUCUGCUGGCCUGGCUGUAGUACUGCAGCUGUGCAGUUUAAUGUUGGAAUAAGUGAGCUUUACCUCCAUGAUGUCGCCACAUAUUUGCUCAUAAAAUGAUUACUUGGGCAAAUAUGACACCAUGACAUGACACAGCCUGACACCGAGACAUUAUGUGAGGAAAGAGCGACCUCUGGGAAACACUGGAGAUAAAAAGAAAAAUGGUAAAAAGAAAAACAAGAAAAUAAUAUUAAAUGAACAGAUAAGUAAAAGCUCUUUACCGUAUAAAAAUGGUAAAAGAAGUAAAAACCUCUUUGACGGAAAUUAAGAAAAAGACUAAGAACAGAGAUUAUUAAUGAAAUGACAUAAAAUAAACAAUAAGAACUUUGAUUAAAAUGAACAUUUGAAUUAAGAGAAAUAUAAAAAGGUGAUCGGUAAAAAGCCUGGUUAAAAAGGUGAGUCUUGAGCCUCUUCUUAAAAACAUCAACGGUCUCUGAAACAAAACCAGAGGACCAAAUAACCUGAAUUUGUGAGGCCUUAUAUCAUUAUCUGGCGUAGAACCAUUGGACUACUUCAGUUCUUUUGAUUUACCACAAACAGUUUUGACUGCUGCAGAUAGAGGACAGAAAAUUCAACAUACUUUGCUUCAAAACUAGGAAUCUGAAAUCUCUUAUCAGACACAUAUUUGAGUCUGUAGGUCAUUUCCUGUCCCUGAUUACUCAGAAAACGGCGUCCCCUUACACAAAAGCAGACUGUCAGUCACCGCCGCCUGUGCUGCUGCCUCCGGCCACACACCUGUUGUCUGGGACAGCAGUAUUAACACUCCUGGCUCUCUGCCUGCGCGAUUUCCACCUCUCACCAUGACAUCUGAUCCAGCGGUGACCGACAGCUGCACUGUGUUUCUGGCACUGCCAACGCCGGUCCCUGAAUGCGUCAUGGAUAUGCAGAGGAAUCUGAGUGAACGAGAGAGUUUGUAGAAACUUUCCUGGCCUGAGAAAGACGAAAACACAAACUUAACUCACACAUUAGACUAAGUAACAGCUGGUAGAAAGAGGAAGAAGCUGCAGAUUCUGUUUUCAGCCUCAUAAGUCAUUCCUGAGGAUAAAAAGAGUCGGGGAUUUAAUGGAAAAACGAAGAUAUGAGCUACACUUGCAGCUACCCUCCCCAGACGAUAUCAGUGAUUUAUUCCAGCCACAAAGCUCCUGUUAACACCCAGAAAAGUUGAUGAGAAAAACAACUCGCUGCUACUUCUGCAAAGAAAAUUGCUCAGUGAAGUAAUGAGCGAGUGUGUGACAAAGGUGAACGCCCACCCUGCAGUGUGAGGCGGGCCAGUUGUCUUCUGCUGAGUGAUUUCUCCUCUGCAGCAUAAAUAAAUAAUCGGCGGUUGAGUAAAGUUGGCAGCGCUCCAGCUCGGCUAAAUUGAAAAAGUCGGAGUAAUUUGGACUCCGAUAAGAAAGUGAUAUCUUUGUUGCUGAGUUGCUACAAGGAGUUAGUGUGUUUCUCCAUCGUGGAGCGGUGAUUUACAACAGUCAGUAAAAUAUGUGGCUGUGCAGACUUUAAGUCCACUUUGCAGGACCAUUACCAACAAGAUGGAGCUCUUUGGACUCGUUGGAAAAGCUUUAAAUUGGGUUGAUGUAAACAGAUUACAUGAAUGAAGCCGUAAGAGGAUUUUUUUUCACUUUCUCUGUGAACAUUUUCACACUCGAGAGCGACAGAGGUACUCAAAGUCUUUGUUAUGGUGCUCCUAGACUUAAGGAGAAACUAGAUUAAUGCAGUCUGAGUAUAAAAAUAUGAGGAAUAAUGAGGCUAAAAGAGGGAAUUUAACCCUCACUUAUAGAUAAAAGUAUUUAAAUCAUCACACAGAGCUUUUUUCAGAGGUUAUAAGAUCACUCAAGUCAGGAAACUGUCCCUCAAACUCUGAGCCCAUACAGCAACCUCCACUACAGAGUCAUGUCAGAGUCAAACAAGCGGCUGCUGGAAGAGAGUAGGUGAGUUGUGUUUAUUCUCUUUGCUAAAGAAAUGAGUCAAAGUUAAAAAGAUGUUUGGUGUCUAGUACUAUGUCUGUGACCCUAUAUGUCCUGUUGAUGAAGUUAGGUGCUGUUCUGAGCAUUAUUUGUGGCUAUAGAGUGGCGUUUUGGUUGAGGGCGUGUCUCUCUGUAUUGCUAUCCUGCGGUCGUUACUAAAGUUGGUAAAACAAGAGAAGCAAGCGGUCGGCAACAUUCAUCUCUGGAGGGGGUGUCUAACUCGGUGUUACAGUGUGUUUGACCCUAAAUUGAUUUUACGCCGGAAUAUCCCUUUAAUAUUUCG